rnacentral:sRNA from 1 species
UCCACCUCCUCCGCUGGAUCCUCCUCCACAGCCUCCACCGCCUCCUCCUCC